GUAUUGACCCCAGGAUGGGCGGGGUGACCCGCUGAGUUUAAGCAUAUCAAUAAGCGGAGGAGAAGAAACUUACGAGGAUUCCCUUA
rnacentral:rRNA from 1 species